UCUUAUGUACAUUCCUACAACAUAGAUUCAAUGCAUUGGAUUCCAUUAUAACUCCACAAUUAAGCGCGCUCGGGCUAGAGUAGUACCGGGAUGGGUGACCACUUGAGAAUUCCUAGUGUUUUAUAUGCC
rnacentral:rRNA from 1 species